AUUGAACGCUGGCGGCAGGCCUAACACAUGCAAGUCGAGCGAGCGGCGGACGGGUGAGUAAUGUCUGGGAAACUGCCUGAUGGAGGGGGAUAACUACUGGAAACGGUAGCUAAUACCGCAUACCAUCAGAUGUGCCCAGAUUGGAUUAGCUAGUAGGUGGGGUAACGGCUCACCUAGGCGACGAUCCCUAGCUGGUCUGAGAGGAUGACCAGCCACCCUGUAACUGAGACACGGUCCAGACUCCUACGGGAGGCAGCAUUGGGGAAUAUUGCACAAUGGGCGCAAGCCUGAUGCAGCCAUUCCGCGUGUAUGACGAAGGCCUUCGGGUUGUAAAGCACUUUCAGCGGGUAGGCGUUACCCGCAGAAGAAGCACUGGCUAACUCCGUGCCAGCAGCCGCGGUAAUUC
rnacentral:rRNA from 1 species